rnacentral:rRNA from 1 species
AUUGAACGCUGGCGGCAGGCCUAACACAUGCAAGUCGAGCGAGUGGCGGACGGGUGAGUAAUGUAUGGGGACUGCCCGAUAGAGGGGGAUAACUACUGGAAACGGUGGCUAAUACCGCAUACUAUCGGAUAACCCAUAUGGGAUUAGCUAGUAGGUGGGGUAAAGGCUCACCUAGGCGACGAUCUCUAGCUGGUCUGAGAGGAUGAUCAGCCAAACGGGAACUAAGACACGGCCCAGACUCCUACGGAGGCAGCAGUGGGGAAUAUUGCACAAUGGGCGCAAGCCUGAUGCAGCCAUGCCGCGUGUAAGAAGAAGGCCUGAGGGUUGUAAAGUACGUUCAGCGGGGAGGCGUUACCCGCAGAAGAAGCCCCGGCUAACACCGUGCCAGCAGCCGCGGUAAUAC